GAAAGCUAUUUAGGUAGCGCCUCGUGAAUUCAUCUCCGGGGGUAGAGCACUGUUUCGGCAAGGGGGUCAUCCCGACUUACCAACCCGAUGCAAACUGCGAAUACCGGAGAAUGUUAUCACGGGAGACACACGGCGGGUGCUAACGUCCGUCGUGAAGAGGGAAACAACCCAGACCGCCAGCUAAGGUCCCAAAGUCAUGGUUAAGUGGGAAACGAUGUGGGAAGGCCCAGACAGCCAGGAUGUUGGCUUAGAAGCAGCCAUCAUUUAAAGAAAGCGUAAUAGCUCACUGGUCGAGUCGGCCUGCGCGGAAGAUGUAACGGGGCUAAACCAUGCACCGAAGCUGCGGCAGCGACACUAUGUGUUGUUGGGUAGGGGAGCGUUCUGUAAGCCUGUGAAGGUGGCCUGUGAGGGUUGCUGGAGGUAUCAGAAGUGCGAAUGCUGACAUAAGUAACGAUAAAGCGGGUGAAAAGCCCGCUCGCCGGAAGACCAAGGGUUCCUGUCCAACGUUAAUCGGGGCAGGGUGAGUCGACCCCUAAGGCGAGGCCGAAAGGCGUAGUCGAUGGGAAACAGGUUAAUAUUCCUGUACUUGGUGUUACUGCGAAGGGGGGACGGAGAAGGCUAUGUUGGCCGGGCGACGGUUGUCCCGGUUUAAGCGUGUAGGCUGGUUUUCCAGGCAAAUCCGGAAAACCAAGGCUGAGGCGUGAUGACGAGGCACUACGGUGCUGAAGCGACAAAUGCCCUGCUUCCAGGAAAAGCCUCUAAGCAUCAGGUAACAUCAAAUCGUACCCCAAACCGACACAGGUGGUCAGGUAGAGAAUACCAAGGCGCUUGAGAGAACUCGGGUGAAGGAACUAGGCAAAAUGGUGCCGUAACUUCGGGAGAAGGCACGCUGAUAUGUAGGUGAAGCGACUUGCUCGUGGAGCUGAAAUCAGUCGAAGAUACCAGCUGGCUGCAACUGUUUAUUAAAAACACAGCACUGUGCAAACACGAAAGUGGACGUAUACGGUGUGACGCCUGCCCGGUGCCGGAAGGUUAAUUGAUGGGGUUAGCGGUAACGCGAAGCUCUUGAUCGAAGCCCCGGUAAACGGCGGCCGUAACUAUAACGGUCCUAAGGUAGCGAAAUUCCUUGUCGGGUAAGUUCCGACCUGCACGAAUGGCGUAAUGAUGGCCAGGCUGUCUCCACCCGAGACUCAGUGAAAUUGAACUCGCUGUGAAGAUGCAGUGUACCCGCGGCAAGACGGAAAGACCCCGUGAACCUUUACUAUAGCUUGACACUGAACAUUGAGCCUUGAUGUGUAGGAUAGGUGGGAGGCUUUGAAGUGUGGACGCCAGUCUGCAUGGAGCCGACCUUGAAAUACCACCCUUUAAUGUUUGAUGUUCUAACGUUGGCCCGUAAUCCGGGUUGCGGACAGUGUCUGGUGGGUAGUUUGACUGGGGCGGUCUCCUCCUAAAGAGUAACGGAGGAGCACGAAGGUUGGCUAAUCCUGGUCGGACAUCAGGAGGUUAGUGCAAUGGCAUAAGCCAGCUUGACUGCGAGCGUGACGGCGCGAGCAGGUGCGAAAGCAGGUCAUAGUGAUCCGGUGGUUCUGAAUGGAAGGGCCAUCGCUCAACGGAUAAAAGGUACUCCGGGGAUAACAGGCUGAUACCGCCCAAGAGUUCAUAUCGACGGCGGUGUUUGGCACCUCGAUGUCGGCUCAUCACAUCCUGGGGCUGAAGUAGGUCCCAAGGGUAUGGCUGUUCGCCAUUUAAAGUGGUACGCGAGCUGGGUUUAGAACGUCGUGAGACAGUUCGGUCCCUAUCUGCCGUGGGCGCUGGAGAACUGAGGGGGGCUGCUCCUAGUACGAGAGGACCGGAGUGGACGCAUCACUGGUGUUCGGGUUGUCAUGCCAAUGGCACUGCCCGGUAGCUAAAUGCGGAAGAGAUAAGUGCUGAAAGCAUCUAAGCACGAAACUUGC
rnacentral:rRNA from 1 species